GUAGAAGAAUGUGUCCAGGAAUAUCCUUUGGCCUUGAAGUAGUGCAAUUCUCUCUUGCUAGUAUUUUGCACUCUUUUGAAUUUUUAAGUUCAUCACCUGAUCCUAUUGACAUGACCGAAACCUUUGGAUUAACCAACACCAAAGGCACUCCACUUGAGAUUCUUAUUAAACCACGUCUAUCUUUUAGUUGUAACGAAAACAACUAAUCCAUGUGCUAGCUAUGCUGUCACAAUUUGUUUUCAUUUAAAGUACUUUUUUUCUAUAAUAUUGUUCAAAGUCUUUGUUAUCUUUGUAUUUUCAUUCAAAGUGCUUGAUAUAUUUGUACUUUCCUUCAAAGUACUUGAUAUAUUUAUAGUUUAUCUUGGUAAACUUUGAAACUCUUUCAAAUAUAUAUUAUUUUUAGUAGACUUUCUUUAUUGAGUCAGGUUAGAGAGUUGGACCGUAUUUAGAGAUUCAUUGCUUAAUUCUUAAUCGCGGAUUGAAGUGAUUAAUCCUAUUUGAACGUAAUUGUAUUUAUGUUGUCGAUCAGUUCAUUAAUGUGGAUUACGAUCUCGAUCGGUCACUGAUAAGUCUCGAGAGAUUACAUUAGUCGAUACAAUUAAUGAAUUGCUUAAUUGGUUAACCGUGACUGAUGAAGGUGUGCAAUAAUUGGAAACCAGAGGCAAAAUACAGAGUGCACUAAUUAGCUUAGCAAAUAAUAAGAAAGUGAUGCAUAACAGUUUCACAUAGAAAGAGUUUUGCAAAUCCUUCAACGGGUGGGUGCCAUUUUUACAUGCACCACAUCUCUUUUUUCAGGUAAGUCACGUACUACUUUAAUAUUUAUGUACCCUUUGAUUAAAUGCCUCAUUGGUCAAUGAGCUUACGAUUAUAACACAUCAUUUUCUUAUGCUUUCAUAUUAUAUUAAUAUUCAAAUGACCUACACUGCAAAAUGAUGUGUUAGUAUAACGUGUUUUAAUUUUAAUUAUAUCUCUAUACUUUUUUUCUAUUAGUUUUAAAAGUCUUCUCUUGAUUUGUGCGUCUUAUCUUUAGUCGGGGAUUCUUUGCAUUUUUCCAAUUUUCUCAUAUGUACCACGAGGAACAAAGUCUUGUUUUUUGAAUUUUCUUAGCAGUAAUAGAAUGAAAAUUUUGACUUAUAUGUAAAAAUAUUAUUCAGUAUUACUGGAGCAAUUUUGUCCCAUUCACUACUUUAUUGUUGAGUGGUUCAAUAUUUGUGGCUGAAGACAUCAUAUAUAUAAUAUAUGCGAACCUUAUAUUAUUUUAAUUUAUUUCUUUUACAUGAACUUGGACUUUAUUGAUUCUGGUCUAAAUUAUACACCUUAACCUACCCACAUUCACAAUUCACUUAUGAACAUCUUUUUUCUUAAAUAUCAAUUAACCUUGGAAGAUAUAUACAACAAAUAUCAAGCUAUUAAGGUCAAUAUCUUGUGUUCAUAACACAAUAUUUUUUUCUCAACAAAUCCUUAAAAUAUAUCCUUAACUAUUUUUAAUUAAAUAUUUUAAAACAUAUAUUUUUUAAUUGUUUUUUAUCGUUUAAUUUUUUAUUAAUUAAGUGACAUGAUUAUUAUUUUUCUUACCAUCUUGCGGUUAAUAUAAAAUAAAACAAUAUUAUAGUUAAUGUAAAACAAUAAGCUUAACUAACUUUAUUUUUUCAUAAAAGAAUUAUUAGAUAACGAGUUUAUCAUGUUUUUUUAGUUGUAAUUUUCAUGUCAUCAUAUACCAUAAAAAAAAGAUCAUCACCAUUGAUAUAAAUAGCAAUUAUCAAACACUUUUUCAAUGAAAAUAAUAAAAAUCACUUUUCAAUUUACAUUAAUCACAAUUUAGUUUUAUAUUAAACACAAAACAUCACAUUUUUAAUAUGUGGAAACAAGUAGCAGAGUAAUGGAAUAAAAUAAAAGUAAUGUAAACCACACAAAAUUAAACAAAAAAAAAAAUUCAAUUUUUUUUUUAAUACUAUUUAAUAAAAAUAACCUAGACCUUGAACCCUAAAUUCAUAGUAUUUUGAUUUUUAAAAAAAAUAAAUUUUGUCUUAUUUUUAAAAAAAAAUAUACAAUUUGAUCUGUUUUAUUAAAUUAACAUAAAGAGGAGGAAGUGGUGACAUGAUGUGACAAAGUUAUAAACGCACGUAUAAAAAUGUUAUAAAGUAUGAUUUAAAUUAGUAAUUACAAUUCACUGCAUAAUAAUUUAAAUUUUAAUAUUUUGAAACUUAACCUUAUAUAUUUUAAAUAUUUUUUAUGGCAGCAAACUUUGAAAAUAGUUAUUAAUUAUUAUUAUUAGUGGUAGUUAUAUCUUAUAAAAAUUACAACACAAUUUCCAAGUAAAAUCAUACUUAGUCUUUGAAAAGUUUGACUUUUCCUUCUCUCUGAAGGAAUGAAGGAUCUAUUUAACCACUCCUACUUUACCCUACCUGAAACACACAGAGCCUCAACUCGCUCAAAUGGAUUUGGUUGUAAAUUCCUUGAAUGCAACCACCAUUGCACUCGCUUCUCUAAUUCUCUUCUGUUUCUUUCUCUAUGGUCUCUUCAAAUUUUCUCGAGGGAAAGAACCUCCCACAGUUGCAGGUGCAUGGCCAAUACUUGGUCACCUUCCAUUGAUGAGUGGUUCAAAGUCACCCCACAGAACUUUGGGUGCUUUGGCCGACAAAUAUGGACCCAUUUUCACCAUCAAACUUGGUGCGAAAAGGGCUGUGGUAAUCAACAACUGGGAAAUAGCAAAGGAAUGCUUCACCACAAACGACACAGUCGUUUUCGGUCGCCCCAAGCUUGUUUCGGUGGAACUCAUGAGCUACAACCAAGCCAUGUUUGCCUUAGCACCCUAUGGUCCCUAUUGGCGAAAAAUAAGAAAGCUUACAAUUUCAGAGAUUCUCUCCCCUCAGCAAGUGAGGCAGCAACGUCAUCUUUUUGAGUCAGAGGUUCAAGAAUCGAUCAAGGAGCUCUUUGACCUUUGGCGCAGCAACAAGAAUGAGAGCGGCUAUGCCUUGGUGGACUUGAAGCAAUGGUUUUCUCAUCUGAUAUUCAACAUGGUCCUUCAAAUGAUUACAGGGAAGCGAUAUUUCAGUGCAGCAACUGUAGACGAUGAGAAGGCACAGAGAUGUGUGAGGACUGUGGAGGAGUUGAUGCGUCUGAUGGGGGUGUUCACAGUGGGAGACGCUGUUCCUUGGUUGAGACGGUUUGAUUUGGGAGGGAAUGAGAAGGCUAUGAAAGAAAUUGCUAAAGAGUUGGAUAUUAUUCUUGGUGAGGAGUUAGAGGAACACAGAAAAAGGAAGGGUUUGGGUGAAGCUAAAGAUUUCAUUGAUGUGAUGAUUUCCUUGUUUGAUGGAACAAUUACUGAUGGGGUCGAUGCAGAUACCGUUAUCAAAUCCACCAUACUGGUAUGUAUCUUCAAUAUGAACAUUAUAAUCCUUUCAAACUUCAACCGUCUAGUAUUUUAUUUUUCUUUCUAAUUUUGUUUUCUGCAUGGCACAGUAUAGCAUGGUUGAAUAGUGUAUAUUAGGGAUAACGAUCUGAGUCAACCCAUUCUAGAUAGAUAUGUCCUGUUAAAAAGUACAGAUUAAUUCUAUUGGUUUAUCUCUAAGGAAAAGAUUUCUUUAACAUCCAAAAAUAAAAUACAUACAAUUUAACAAAUCAUUAUAAUAAUAUUUUUAAAUUAAAAAAUAAUAUAACAAUGUUCUGAUUUUCAAUAAAAUUUGAAUUUUGAUUAUAAUAAUAAAUUAUUUAAUAAAAUAUUUUAUUAAAUAUAUACAUUUUUUUAAAGGUAAAUACAUUAUUACUAUUAAUUUGAAAAAUAAUAUAUUUAUAUAUAUAAUACAACCUUUAAAUUUUAUUAUAAAAAAGACUAAGGUAUUUUUUUUUUUUGAAAUGUCCCUUUUAAUUCAAUUUUAUUUUUUGUUGACAAAAAAAAUAUACUUUUUAGAAAGAUAAAAAACACCAUUUAUUAAAAAAUCAUUAUUGAAUUUUGUGAGGGUGAUAUAAAUUAGGGAUUGAGUGUAGAUUCUUCCUGCAUCUCCAUGCCUUUCUUCUUGCAUCCCAUUAUACAAAAAAUACUCAAAUUAUGCUUUGGCAUUUUUCUUUAAUUCCGAAAUGUGACAUUUAAUUUGGAAGUUAAAAUUUGUUUUGGGAUUGUACAUUAUUUCAGAUUGUACAAUCCAAAAUACAAAUUUGUAUACUAGAUUAUUGAAUUUGAAAUAAAUAAUUUUACAACUUUUGAGAAUAAGAGGUUGCUAGAAGAAAUAAAUAAGAUGAAGAAAUUAAAUAAAUUUAUGAAUUAAAAUUAGUUUAUAUAUGAAUUAAAAAUAAUAUUUUAUGUAAAUUGAUUUUAAUAUAUGAUUUUUUUUUUGUUUUAUAGAAGAACUUGUGAAUAAAACCAUAUUCUUAAUUUGUUUAAUUUGCAGACACUGAUUGCAGGAGGAACUGACACAAGUAGUGUUGUUCUUGUGUGGGCAAUGUGUUUGAUUUUGGGAAAUCCUUUGGUAUUGGAAAAAGUGCAAGCCGAACUAGACAUUCAUAUUGGAAAAGAGAAAUGCGUAAGUGAGUCUGAUAUGAGUAAGUUAACAUAUCUUCAAGCCAUAGUCAAAGAAACUUUAAGAUUAUAUCCUCCGGGUCCUCUUGCGACACCUCGUGAAUUCACAGAGAAUUGCACUUUAGGUGGUUAUAAUAUAAAAAAAGGAACUCGACUAAUCACAAAUCUUUGGAAGAUUCACACAGACAAGAAUGUUUGGGAAGAUCCAUUGGAGUUCAAACCUGAAAGGUUUCUUACAACUUACAAAGAUCUCGAUGUUAAAGGUCAUCAUUUUGAGCUAAUACCAUUUGGAGGUGGUAGAAGAAUGUGUCCAGGAAUAUCCUUUGGCCUUGAAGUAGUGCAAUUCUCUCUUGCUAGUAUUUUGCACUCUUUUGAAUUUUUAAGUUCAUCACCUGAUCCUAUUGACAUGACCGAAAACUUUGGAUUAGCCAACACCAAAGCCACUCCACUUGAGAUUCUUAUUAAACCACACCUAUCUUUUAGUUGUUAUGAAAACAACUAAUCCAUGUGCUAGUUAUGCGGUCACAAUUUAUUUUCAUUCAAAGUAUCGUUCAAAGUCUUUGCUAUCUUUGUAUUUUUGUUCAAAGUGCUUGAUAUAUUUUAAUUUUCCUUUAAUGUACUUGAUAGAUUUAUAGCUUAUCUUUGUAAACUUUGAAACUCUUUCAAAUAUAUCAUUAAUAAAAAGAAUAAUUACACCGCAUAUUCUCACUACUUUAUUCCUUCUUUAUCGAUAUUUUCUUUAUAUUUUUCAAGUCCCUCUUAUGGAAAUAAAUCUUUGUAAAUUUUUUUCCUCUAUACAUCCUUCCAACUAGUAAGGCUCUGAUUUGGAUGUGAUUUGAAUCAUUCUUUAGCUUUUCCUGUCAAUGAGAAAGGAAAUAAACGUAGAUAAACAGUUUCAAUAUCACCUGAUUGAAAGUCUAUUGUUCCUACCAAUUCAUAAAAUGUAGACAAAUGUGUAUAUGGAUCCUCAUGGUCCAUUGUUGUAAAUUGAUGGGUACUUAUCAGACUGAGGAAUGCAGGUUUCAUCUCCAAGGCGUUGGUGGUAGAAGGUAUUGCAAUACUAGAGAAAUGAUGGCCUCUGGUGCAUAGCAUAAUCUCCAAGUGUUCUCUUGGGUUGUUGAUGACUUUUUACGGCAAGUGCACUGUGUUUGUCAGAAGUAAUAAUUGUCCCUAAGAACGAAUAUCAAUCCACAAGGAACAAUGAAGUGAAUUAUUGAGUACAAAAUUCGCUAAAUAUAACAACAGAACAAUAAAAAGAGUUUUGAAGUGAUUGUGUUGACACCGAUCAAUAAUAAAAUAAACAAAGAAUUAGUUGCUUGAAUUGAAAAAAUAGGGAUUAGGUUUCAUUUUUCUCACUCUCAUGUAUUUUGAUUAGGAUGUUAAUAUUAAGUUCUUUGAUUGAAAUUGAUGGCCAUAAAAAAUUCAUUUUUAUCGAUCCCUCGCAUAUAAAAUCCUUAAAAAUGUUUCCUAAAUAUCGAUCCCUUGCAUAUUUAUAAAAACAACUUAGAAUCCCAUUGAGACGUUAAUGUCAAUUAACAUUUCAAGUUUAUCCUUAACACUCAAAUAUGUUAAGUAUUGUUGUUCAGGUUUGAACCCUAAAAAUACCUCUCGGUUAGAUUUAAGACUAUCAAUUUGUCACGGAAAGUUAAAAGUAAAACAACAAUACCAAUAAUCAAUCAAGAACUUAAUAUUAAUAUAUAAGAUAUCACCUCAAUAUAUAAGAGUUUGAGCAUAUUACUCCAAAUCCAAAAUGGUAAAAUUAGCCACGCAUACUUCUAGCACCUUCCAUUCUCCUAAUUGGGUUACAAUUCACUCUAUGGUGUUUUCCUCUCAAUCUGACACAGUAGGAUUGAGCCUCUAGCCCCCUAUUUAUCCUAAUUUUCUAGGGUUAGGUCGCUUCUUAUGUCGUGCUAAUGGGCUAAGUGAUAAAACAUAAAAAAAACCCCAAUCUUUCUGACGUAUUCUCGCUCAAGCGAGAUACUCUUGUGGCGAAAUAGUCUUUUUCUGCAUCUCUUUGCAUUCUAGGACCUACCUUCUAGCUUUAUCUUUUUAGCUCAAAUUAUUCUCCUUUACUCCAAAUCUUCAAUCCUCCCUAAAAAUAUGCAAUUAACACCAAAUUUGGGAAUAAAAUUCUCUUAUUCAAAUAAAGAUCAUACAAAAUGUAUAAAUUCAUAAAUUAGAGAUUAUUCUAUAUGUAAAUUAGCAAUAAAUCCUCCUAAGUGCCUAAAUUUUAAUAUGAAAUAUUACUGAAAUUAGACACUUAUGAGUUGUGGUGGUGGUUUUUUUUGGCUAUAAUGCUUUCUUCUUGAAAAAUAUUAAUGGGAAGGAAAAAAAUGGUUAAGGAUUCUUCUAUAGUCUCUUUGUUUUUCUGUUCUCUUUCUCUCGUUGUUUCUUGUAGCUGCCUUUUCAAUCUCUAAUUUAAACAAUUGAGGAUUCUUCUAGCAGAAACAAUUUAAGCCAUAACAGUUCUUGGAGUUAAUCUUUAAAAGGUUUAAUUUGUAUUUUUUAGAAGUUCACAGUGUAUAAAAAAAUAAUUUUCUUUAAAAAUUAGAUUCAAAUUGGUUCUACAACAAUGUGCUUUGAUAAAAGACUUUACUUUUAAAUUGUAAAGCAAGAUUCAAAUCAGCUUUCAAUAACCGUCUAUUUAAACAAUAAAACACUUUAAAUCACAUUUUAAAAUCAAAUUUGAUAUGAUGAUGUUUAAAACCAGUUCCAAAACGAGAUUUCUUAUUGAUGGUUUGUUUUUAAGUAUGAACUUGUCAUCAAAGACACCAUCCAGUUUUUAAGUUUGAUUAAUUUCUUUAGUUGUUAGAAGUAAUGAAUACGAGAGAAGAAUAACACACAAUGAUUUAUACUAAUAUGAGAGAAGUAGUGUAUAUACUCUUACUUACGAUAAAGAAUUAUAAAAAUUAAAAGAAGUAAAACUUGACGAAAUUUGUACUUCCAUCAUUAUUUUUUCCUUUAUCACUUAUUUCUAUACUCUUUCUUUAACAACAUUGUAAUAUAGCGAUUUUUUAUAACAAAAUAUGAAAUAAUUUUAAAACGUGUGAAGAAAACGGUAUGGAUGAAUGGAUACGUUAUAUUGAUAAAUAAAUAAACCACAUGCGUUGGUUUUAAUCAAGACAAUAACUUGACAUAUACAUACGUAUCUCCAAAAUUUUAUUUACCCAAUUCUUACCAAAAAUAUUUUAAAAUAAUUAAUUUGUCGUCGUAUAAAUUCUCACUUCUAAUUGAAAAAUGUAUGAGCAUAUUUAUUUUCCAAUUUGUAACAAAAUUUACGAAUUUAUAUAUAAUUUUACAAUAAUUAUUUUUUAGUUUAUUAACAUGGCAUAAAAUUAAAGUUUUCGUUUUCUUUUAUUGACAUGUUGGUCGAAUAAGAGGUUUUUUUUAUUUUAUUUUAAUUUCUUUAAUUAUUUAAUUACCUAAAUUAUUUCAAUCAACACAACAAGUAAGAUAGGACGUUUAUAAAUAAUUAUCAGAAUAAUAUUUCAUUAAGUAAACUAAUUCUUAAUAUUUUAGAACAGUUACCAACAAGUAUCCACAGUUAAAAAAUAAAAAUAAAAAUAUAAAUUUAAUAUAUUAUAAAAAAAUAGAUUUGAAUAUUACACUUAUCAAAAUUACUUUCUAUUUUAGUUUCUAAUUUUUUUUAUAGACUCUUGAAUUAAAAAAUUAAAAAUAUUUUUUAUUCAUCCCAAUCUAAAAGUGAUAGUUUAGUCUUUUGAAAUUUAAAUACUAUUUUGAGUUAUCUAAUUUAUUAAUAAUUGACAAAUUCGUUAAUAAUUAUAGAUUCAAUUGAAAAAAAUAAAGAAUAAAAAAAACAAAGCAUCAAUGACAUAAACUCAUAAUAAUGAAUCCAGACACUGAAUUACAAAACAUUAUUUUAUUUAUAUGAAUUCGAUUGCACUUUCUUUAUAAUGAUAUUUCUUUUGAGUUUUAAUUAUCUAGAAAUUUUCCAAACAAUUAUAUGUGACAAAGCAUGAACAUGAAAUCAAUAACAGUAUAUAUGAAGUUGAAUGUGUAACGAUGUGACCAUUUUACACUAUCAAUCUAUUCCAUGUUUUUCCAUUACAAUUUGAUUUGUGUGCUUAAAGUGAUCAAUCAUGGAUGCAAAUAAUGAUGAAAUAGAAAUUAAUAUGCUCAUAAAAAAAUAAAGGCAACGUUGGUGUACCUAACAUGGUGGUGACGAACUACAUCAACUACAUUAGAACAGUUCUUUUAUGGGUGGUGUGUGUGCUGCCUUAUGUGAAUAAGGAAAAUUUUACGUAUAUAUUGUGGAGGUAGGAAAAGUUUUAUCUACCCCACGGGACGCCAAAUGUUCUAGCCAAGAGGGAUGUCUCCCUACUAAAGCGUACAAUUAAGCCAGAAACAAUGGUUUCUAGCCCUAAAGUGUUUGUCAGGUCAUCUUCUUUCCCUUAUAUAAGUUAGUGCUCUCCUCCCUUUUUGUAUCCCUUCUUGUUUUGAGUUAUAUUUUCAAAUUGAUUACAAUCACAUAUAUACGGUCGAUCUCCAUAAUCAACGCACUCUCCUCUUUAUGAAAAAUAAAUAAGAUCUUUUUCAUUAAUUUCAGAGAUAGACUAUUUCACCACAUCAUCGGUCUGAUAAGUUCAUAACCAUUAUUUACAUAGAUCGACACAAAAACCAUUUCACCAUGUGAUAACACUCGAUCCAUGAUCUCACAAUACCAAAUUAAAAGAAUUCUUAAUUUUUUUUGAAAAUAAAGCUAUUUUGAAAUUGUUGUUAAAUUAUUUCAUCUUAAUAUUUAGGUCUUAUUUUCAAAAUUUGAAUUCCAACACGAUUUAUCUAUUAAUAUAACGUGUCUUAAUUUUAAUUAUAUCUCUCUAUACUUUUUUAGUAAGUUUUAAAAGUCUUGUCAUGAUUUGUGCGUGUUAUCUUUACUCGGGGACUCUUUGUAUCUUUCCAAUGUUCUCAUAUGUCCCACAAGAGACAAAGUCUCUUUUCAAUUAUUUUAGCAAUAAUAGAAAACUUACUUAUUUUAAAAUACUAUUCAGUAUUAUUAGAGCAUUCUUAUUGGGGUAAGUCAGGUACUACUUUAAUGUUUAUGUACUGUUUGAAUAAAUGUCCCAUUGAAAAAUGUGAGCAUUUUUGUCCCAUUCUUAACUUUAUUGUUUGGUAGAAAUUUUUCGUCCGGAAGAGUAAUUAAGUGGUGCAGUUUCUACCUAACUCUCCGGCCACCUGUUUAAUGCUAAUACGUCGUCAUUCGUGCUCAUAUGUUGAUGCGAAAAGAUUUAUUUCACAUUAAAAACAUAUAUUUAACAUCACAUUAUUAUAAUAAUAUAAUCAGGUUUAAAAUUAAAAAAUAAAUUAAAUAUAUGUUUAAUAUGUCUCAGUUUUUUUUUUCAGAAAAUGUUUUUUAUGAAUGAUUUAAAAUGUUUUUUUUCUUAUUUUUAUAAUUAUAAUAUAAUCUUUUAGAAUAAAAAUUUAAUUUUUAAAAAAUUAAUAUGUUUUUUCUUUUAAAAAUUUUGUUAGAAUUCUAAUAAAAUUGUCAAAAAUUUUAAAAAUAUAUUUAAGAGACGUAUUUAACUUAGUUUGAUAAGUAAGAGAUUUGUGAAAGGUAUUAAUUAAAAGAGUGGUGAUAUAUUAACACUUUUAAUGAUAAAAACACAUUUUUUUUUAAAUAAAAGUUUUCAUGUUAGACAUCAUUAUGCAGUUUUUACACUUUUUAUACUAUAAUAAAUUAAUAUUUUAUUUAUUUUUAUUUUAUUUUUUAAUUUAAAAAUAUUAUUAUAAACAAUGUAAAUGUAUGUUUUUUUAUUCACUAUAAUAAAAUCAUGAAAUAGAAACCAAUUUGUAGAAAUCAAAAUAAUUAGUUGCAAUAGUAACUAAAAAGAAAUUUGGUUUCUAAAUUAGUUUCUAUUAUUGUUAAAUAGUUUCUAAAUUGGUAUCUAAUUAGCAACUAAGGUUUUUCUACCAAAUUUAGAAACUAAAUAAUUGGUAGUUAAAAUCUUAAUUGCUAAUUAAAUAUCAAUUUAAAAACUAUUUAAUAAUAAUAUAAAUUAAUUUGAAAAACUAAUUUUGUUUACUUUCUAAAUAUUUAAUGAUUUUCUGUCUGAACAAAACUUUUCUCUAAUUAAGAAGGAGUGAUACUUUAUAAUUUGUGUUUUAUAAAUAAUUACUUUACAAUUUUGCUAUAGUGAUAUAAUAUUUAAAGUUAUCUAAUUAAUUUAUACUUUUUACAUUUAUUAUAUUAUUAUAGUUGUAAAGUAUUAUAAAAUUAUCUUUAUGUUGAGUAAAAAAUAGAUGAUUUGAUAAGUAAUUAGAGAGAUCUUUAUAAAAGUGGAGUGAUUUUUGUCUAUUAUCACUAUGAAGUUUGUUAUUGACACGAUUUUUCCAAAUUUAGAAAAUAACUAUAUUUUAAUUAUGAGUGGCGGCAAAUAUUAACUCAUCUUUUCAAGAGAGAAAUGAUAUUUUAACUAUAAAAAAUGAUUUGAUUUGAUUGAUUUAAAUAUAAAUAUAUAUUAUAAUAAGAUUGUAUAAAAUAGUAGGGUUGUUAGAAACCUAAGAACAGUGUCAGAGAGUGACUCACAAGUUAGAGAUAUUAAAAUCCAAUUUGUGUAGCCUCAAGCAUGCAUCGCAUACACAAUCUUCUCUCUUGGGUAAAAUGGAUCUAAAUGUUUCUGCAAUUGGACUUGUUUCUCUACUUCUCUUCUGUUUCUUUUUCUUUGGUCUCUUCAAAUUUUCUCAAGGAAAAGAAGCUCCCACAGUUGCAGGUGCAUGGCCAAUACUUGGCCACCUUCCAUUGUUGAGUGCUUCAAAGAGACCCCAUAGAACUUUGGGUGCUUUGGCUGACAAAUAUGGACCCAUUUUCACCAUCAAACUUGGUGCCAAAAGCGCUUUGGUAAUCAACAACUGGGAAACGGCAAAGGAAUGUUUUACCACAAACGACAUAGUCGUUUCCUCUCGCCCCAAGCUUGUUGCUGCUGAACACAUGAGCUACAACCAAGCCAUGUUUGUGGUAGCACCCUAUGGUCCCUAUUGGCGAAAAAUAAGAAAGAUUACAGUUUCAGAGAUUCUCUCCCCUCUGCGAGUGAAGCAGCUGCGUCAUGUUUUUGAGUCAGAAGUUGAAGGUUCGAUCAAGGAGCUCUUUGACUUUUGGCGUAGCAACAAGAAUGAGAGCGGCUAUGCCUUGGUGGAGUUGAAGCAAUGGUUUUCUCAUCUGAUAUUCAACAUGGUCCUUCAAAUGAUUACAGGGAAGCGAUAUUUCAGUGCAGCAACUGUGGAUGAUGAGAAGGCACGGAGAUUUGUGAGGGCUAUGGAGGAGUUCAUGCGUCUGUUCGGGUUGUUCACAGUGGGAGAUGCUGUUCCAUGGUUGAGAUGGUUUGAUUUUGGAGGGCAUGAGAAGGCAAUGAAAGAAACUGCGAAAGAGUUGGAUAGUAUUAUAGGUGAGGAGUUAGAGGAACAUAGAAAAAGGAAGGGUUUGGGUGAGAAGGUUGAUGAAGCUAAAGAUUUCAUGGAUAUCAUGAUUUCAUUGUUUGAUGGAAGAACUAUUGAUGGGGUCGAUGCAGAUACCGUAAUCAAAUCCACCCUUCUGGUAUGUAUAUUCAUUACACACACAUUAUAAUCUUUUCAAAUUUCAACAAAAUUCAACAUACAUAUAAAACGAAUUAAUAUAUAUAUAUAUAUAUAUUUAUAUUGGUGUAUGUAAAUUUUUUCUUAAGAGAUAUUUAAAAAAAAAAAUAGUUUCUAUUAUUAAUAAAUAAUUUCUAAAUUGGUAUCUAAUGUUUUAAUUAUCAAUUAUUUAGAUUUUAAAUUUUGUAGAAAUAAUCUUGGUAGCUAAUUAGAUACCAAAAUAGAAACUAAUAACUUUUUUAGUCUCUAAACUAGUAUUUAAUUUACUCAAUAUAACACCUAGUUAUAUUUGGUAUCUAAAAUUGGUUUCUAUUUAAUGAUUUUCUUGUAGUGAUGGUUGUAUAGUUUAAUAUAUACCAUGAUUGUAAAGUCUAUCUAAAGAACGAGAAUGCCGGUUAGCCUAUCCUAUAUAGGUCUGUUCCAUAUAGAAAAUGAAUGUUGAUUUUAUUGGUUUGUCUUUAAUGCUGAUUGCUUCCCAAAUGUGCACAUAAGAAAUAUAUAUUUUAAAUUAUAAAAAAUAAAUUUUGAAUAUUUUUUUUAUUAAGUUAAUCUUUUAUUUAUUUAAAUGAAUUAGAUAAAUUGUCUCACAAUAUUAUUCUCAUGAUAAUGCCUAAUAAGAUAUAGGUAAAAAAUAAUAUUAUAAUUAUGUUUUGAUUUUCUAUAAAAUUAGAAUUUUAAGGCAAAUACAUUAUUACUAUUCUAAUUUGAAAAGUAAUAUAAAAUAAUAUAUAUAUAUAUAUAUAAUACAAUUUUUAAAUUUUAUUAUAAAAAAAGAGUAAGGUAUGCUAAUGCAUUUGACAUAUGAUGAUAUGCAUUUCAGAAAGACAAAAAAACACCAUUAAAUAUUAAAAAAUCAUUAUUGAAUUUUGUGAAGGUGCUAUGAAUUAGGGAUCCACUGUAGUUUCUUCAUGCACCACCUCCAUGUCUUUCUUCUUGCAUCCCAUAGUUCAUAAAAUAUUCAAAUUAUCCUUUGAUAUUUUUCAUUGAAUGUUUUUCUUUAAUUCUGAAAUGUGGCAUUUCAUCUAGAAGUUAAAAUUUGUGUUUGGGAUUGUACAUUAUUUCAGAUUGCACAAUCCAAAAUACAAAUUUGUAUACCAGAUUAUAGAAUUUGAAAUGAAUAAUUUUAGAAAUUUUGAGAAUAAGUGGCUGCAAAAAAAAUCAUGGGGGUAUAUAUAAAAAAAACUAAUUCUUAAAAAAUGUGGGUUAUACGGGUCAACGUGCCUUAUCCCACACUUUGCCGGUAUGUGCUACGGGUUAUGCGAGGCGGGUCAACAAGUUGAAAUAGCCAGUCUACCCUGUAUUUCUUUUAGCGGGCCAAGGACUGGUCUACACGACCCACUCCGUUUUGCCAUCCAUAAUUUAAGUAACUAGUUACUAAAUAUAAAGUAUUAUAAUUAUGUGAAAUAUAUAUAAUAAAUAAUUUAUUUACGUAAAUUACACUAUAGUAAUUUUAAAUUUGAUUAGAGUAAACACUUGUAAAAUAUUCUUCUAUCAUGUCUAUUGGCAAUUUUUUCAAGUAAAUGUAUCCACAAACACUUACAAAAGAAAUAAAUAAGAAGAAGAAAUUAAAUAAAUUUUUUACAAACUAAAAUUAGUAUAUAUGAAUUAAAAAAAUAUUUUACAUAGAUUUAUUUUAAUAUAUGAUUUGUUUCCCUUAUAGAAGAACUUGUGAAUGACCAUAUUCUUAAUUUUCUUAAUUUGCAGGCAGUGAUUGCAGGAGGAACUGACACAAGUAAUAUUGUUCUUACGUGGGAAAUAUCUUUGAUUUUGAGGAAUCCUUUGGUAUUGGAAAAAGUAAAAGUGGAACUAGACAUUCAUAUUGGAAAAGAGAAAUGCGUAAGUGAGUUUGAUAUAAGUAAGUUAACAUAUCUUCAAGCCAUAGUCAAGGAAACUUUAAGAUUGUAUCCUCCUGCUCCUCUUUCGACGCCUCGUGAAUUCAUAGAGGACUGCACUUUAAGUGGUUAUAAUAUAAAAAAAGGAACUCGUCUAAUCACAAAUCUUUGGAAGAUUCACACAGAUAGUAAUGUUUGGGAAGAUUCAUUGGAGUUCAAACCAGAAAGAUUUCUUACAACUCAUAAAGAUAUUGACGUCAAAGGUCAUCAUUUUGAGUUAUUACCAUUUGGAGGUGGCAGAAGAAUGUGUCCAGGAAUAUCCUUUGGCAUUGAAGUAGUGCAUUUCUCUCUUGCUAGUUUUUUGCAUUCUUUUGAAAUUUUAAGCUCAUCACCUAAUCCUAUUGACAUGACUGAAAACUUUGGAUUAACCAACACCAAAGCCACUCCACUUGAGAUUCUUAUUAAACCACGUCUAUCUUUUAGUUGUUAUGAAAACAACUAAUCCAUGUGU
rnacentral:lncRNA from 1 species